UGGACAGAUGGGGGGUGGGGGGGCUCUGGGUGAAGAGGCAGGCACGUGAGGGCGAAGCGGGAGAAGUGAUCUUCACGCUCACCCAACAGACUCGGUUUGGAAGAGCAGAAUCUGUUGUCCCGGGUGUAGACACAGAGCCCAGAAAGGUCCCCACGGCCGCCCCCCCCCCCCCGCCCCCACCUCUCCGGGGUCAUCUGCAGUCCUCAUUUGCACCUUCCAUUGGGUCUCCAAGGCAACCUCCUGAUUUGGGGGGCGGGCUUCCACGAUUGAGCCCUUACCCGGUGUCAGACGCUGUUACCUGACCUUAUUUAACCCCCUCGGUCACCCUGUGCCACUCUGCCCAUUUUACAGGUGAAGAAGCUAAGACUCAGAGUUACGCGCCUUUUCUUUAUUGCGGGGGGUGGGGGACGUUUGAGGCUCCGGGGCCGCAGCACUCCCAGGUGAACUUGGCCACAGGCAGACCCCUUUCACCUAGGGGAGGGGGUUUGAACCCCAGCGGUUCCCUCAACUCUUAAAACUGGUGGAUACGAAGAGUGCCCGCUGGAUACGAAGAGGGCUGGCGGGAGGCUUAAGUGAGUUACCGUGUGAAAGCCACUCUGCCCCGUGGCUGUGCACAGGAAGUCCUCAGGAAGUGGACACUGACCACGUAGCUCCGCGCCUGUCACGGGGGAGCCAGUCACAAACGUCAACUCAAGCGUGCUCACCCCUCCCCAUGCUGAGGGGAUGACAACGUGAGCUCUGGAAAACCUUUCUGGAGGCCGGUUAGUGUGCCGCAUCUGUGAGUGCAAAUUCCAUUUCCUUCGGCCCAAGCGGCUCAUUUCGAGGAACCAGUCCUCCCGAAGCAAUUAAGGAUGUGCUCAGAGACGGGAGUGCGAAGACAGUCACCGCGGUGUCGCCCGUAAAAGCAGAAGGAUGCAAACCACACUUCCGGCAGGCGGGACGAAGGAUGCAACUAACCACGCGAGGUGACGCGCGACCCUGGGAACUGAGGGUACGGGUCUGCGUUUGUGGGCGUGAUAGGAGGGCAGAGGGCACGUGUGCUCUCGAGCGGGUUUGUUCCAGAACCGUUCGCGCGGCUCGAUGAGUUUCAGGACGUGGAUAUGGCCCCGUAUGCACCACCACUAUCUGGUUUGAAAAUACAGGGGCCCGGCGUGUCUCUGGGUGAAAAAUAAAACAAGGUAUGGAACAGCACGGGGAAUAGGGUCCCCUUCCGUGCGUAUGCGGCUCUGUCUGUCCACGGCAGCCCUGUGUGUGGCAGGUGCGCGGAAAGGGACCGAAAAGGCUCCACCAGAACGCUGACGCAGGCACUCGAGGUGCCAAGGUCACGGGGAGGCUGACCGUGGCACGUGCUUUCGCCUCGGGCCUUUAGUGACGUCACACUACCGUCCGCAAGAGAGAGUAAAGCAGGAGGUGUCGCUGCAGGGUGGUGACUGGACACGUCCCCCUCUCUGUGGACACGUGGGGACAGUAGCCGCAGGCACGAAGACACAGCUAACGUCGCCCGUCACCCUUGCCGCCAGGAAUGGCAUUUGGGACUCUUAGCAAACGGCAGCUCAUCUUACCUACUGUGGCUGGAGGCUGCUGGGGCAGGGGAGGGGAUGGGGGGGUGGCAUUCUGGGAAGCAGGAGGCACAGUUUACAGAAACUCGGAGUUCCCAGAGCCUGGCGGGUUUGAGCAAUGGAGUUGAUUUUCCUUUCAAGUUUUUACCGUCAUUUUCAAGGGCUCCUGGAGCAUCAGGAUGGUUUUCCUUUAUCCCUCGGUCAUCACAAGUUUAUGGUCCACCUGCUGUCGCCAGGCCCUCCCUAGGUUCGUCAGGGUCACCUACAGCCUGGGGAGAGCGGCAUCUGGCUCAGUGCCCCGAAGGCCCCAAGGCCGAAUCACCCUGGCCAUUCCCAGCGGGACUCCCCCGGGGCCCUGAGGGUCUGCCCGGGAUCCAGGCUGUGGGCGAGGCCAGGCCUUGGGGUGAGUGCUGCUCAUCUGGAAGGGAGCCACGAGGGCCUACUGUGUGCGGCGCGGGGGCCCCAGCCCACGGCCCACGGUGGGAGCUGUGCCAAAAUCCAGGCAGCUUCCUGGAGGUGGCCUGCCCUGCUCGUCUAGGUCAGGAGAGACUCAGGGAGGAAGGGCUGUCUGAGAAUUUGGGGCAGACAUAAUAACCUGGGUGCAAAUCCUCCCUCCCAUGCUUACUAGCCCCGCGGCAUUGGGUGGGUCACCUUUCCUGUCGGUCUCUCCGUUUUCUCAUGUGUAAAAUGGGGCCGUGGUGGUAGAUAUGAGGACGCAGUAGAGGGUGAACGGUGCUUGGCAGGACGCCUCACACAUGGCACAUUCUUGGCAAAUGGCAGCUCUUCCCACAUAUUUCGGUUAAGAGGUUCCUGGACAGGGGAGCGCGGAGGGGCGUUUUAGGGAAAGGAGGGAGCGUAUUGCAGAAAUCCGGAAUUCCCAGAGCCUGUUGCCUUGAGCAAUGUGGCAGAGGUCAGCUUGGCUGGUCUGGAGGUCGUGGGCCUGGAGAGGGGCGGGGGGUGCUGGGGAAGUGCCCACAAGGCAUGGGUGUUGCGGGGUGGGGUGGGGUGUGGAGACCUGCUGGGGUUCAAGGCAGAGGACAGAGUCCUGAGCUGGGCUGUGGUCACAGGGCUGAAGAUGGGCAGGAGAGAUGUGUCAGAAAGGUGUUGCAAGAGCGGCUGUCCCCCUGUGUCCCAGCCCUGUGCCUCCCUCUCCUCUGGAUUAUCCCCAAGAGCCUCGUAACUGCUUUCUUGUUGCCACACGUCUCCCUUGGUUUAGUUUCAAAAAGCAUCCAGAUCCUAAAGAUCUCUUUAAAGCAUAAGGUACAUUGUAGCCCCUUCCUCCUCAAAAUCUCCCAAAGGCAGGUCUCCCAAUCAGAGAGACAAAUCCUUCCAGUGGCCCUCAAGGCCCCCCAUGACCCUACCUCCUCAUUAUCUCUCUGACUUCCUGUCCUUCCUCCCACCUUGCUUACUCUGCUAUUCCACCAAUACCUCGGGCACACAUGCCCCAGGGCCUUUGCACUCACUGAUUUCCCUCCCUGGACACACUACCCGCCCCCCCCCCCCAAGGUAGCCCUAAGGCUUGCCCCCUCACUUCCUUCAGGUCUCUGUCGGCUUUUCAGAGAGGCCACCCCUUGCUGGUCUAUGUAAAGUAGCACCCCUGCCCCGGUCCUCCAGUCCAGUGUUCCUGCUAUAUUUCUCAACCCAGCACAUGUUAUCGCUGACUGUAUUUCUUUAUCCGUUAAUUUUCUCCGCUAGGAUUUUAGCUCCAUGAAGCCGAAGAGUAUCUGCUUUGUUCACUGCUGUCUGUGUUUCCAGACCUUGGGGUGGGGGGUGGCACAUAGUAGGUGUUCAAGCAUUUGUUGAAUGAAGGACCAGGGUGCUCUGUGUGAUGCCGAGGGCUGGCUGGGUUUCUUUCCAAGAAGACUUUUUGGUAUCAGCUUGAGCAGGAACUCUCUUAUCUGUGAAUUAUCAGCCCCUUGGCCUUAUUAUCUGCCUGCCCUCUUGGCCUGACACCAAGGGGCAGGUGGCCCUGAAAUACUCUGUCUAGAGAGGCCGAUGCUGGCCAUGAACAGAACUGGUGCUGGAGAAACCAGAUUUGGAAGGUCUUUCUAGAAGGGUCCUUAGAGAUGGUCUUUUCCAAGCUCUUUAUUUUACAGGUGGAGAAAUUGAGGCUCAGAAAUGGUGGGGGAGGCCAUACCCCAAGAUCAUAGAGCAAGUGUGUAGAAGAUAGAAACCAGGUCCCUUGCUCAGGAGAGAGAGAGUAUGUGUGAGCGAGAGAGGAGCAGAGAGAGAGGGAGAG